GUACGGGGGGGGCAAGCGUUGUUCGGAAUCACUGGGCUUAAAGGGCGCGUAGGCGGAUUCUCAAGUCCGGGGUGAAAUCCCACAGCUCAACUGUGGAACUGCCUCGGAUACUGGGAGUCUCGAGGGUGGCAGGGGUAUGCGGAACUAUCGGUGGAGCGGUGAAAUGCGUUGAUAUCGAUAGGAACUCCGGUGGCGAAGGCGGCAUACUGGUCCACUUCUGACGCUGAGGCGCGGAAAGCCAGGGGAGCAAACGGG
rnacentral:rRNA from 1 species